GUUAUAUACAGUAACGAAAUCUCGUUAUUUCGCGUUCGGCAUUAAGCGGAUUGGCAAGCAUAUGAGGUAAACGAUGAAAACAAAAAUUACAGCAUUGAUUCUUGCCUUUGCCAUUUUACUGAGUGCUACACACCAAAGCGAUGCUCAGUUCUACAGAGGAUUUGGAAGGCGUGGUUUCCGAAGAGGCGGAUUUGGGAGGGGCAUAGGACUUGGUUUUCUAACCGGUGCAUUAAUAGGAGGCGGAGGCUUUGGAUACCCGUACGGUGGUCAUUAUGGAGGAUUUUUCCCUGGGCUACUUGGUGGAGCACUUUUGUUCGGCUAAUAAAUCUAAAAUGCCAAAUCAUUUGUGAAUAAAAGAUAAAUGAAAAAUGACUGAAAAACAUGGAUAUUGGACAGCAUUACUUUAAGA